UACGGGGGGAGCAAGCGUCGUUCGGAUUUACUGGGCGUAAAGGGCGCGUAGGCGGCCUGUGCAAGUCAGUUGUGAAAUCUCCGAGCUUAACUCGGAACGGUCAACUGAUACUGCUCGGCUAGAGUGCGGAAGGGGCAACUGGAAUUCUUGGUGUAGCGGUGAAAUGCGUAGAUAUCAAGAGGAACACCUGCGGCGAAGGCGGGUUGCUGGGCCGACACUGACGCUGAGGCGCGAAAGCUAGGGGAGCGAACGGG
rnacentral:rRNA from 1 species